rnacentral:lncRNA from 1 species
GGGAGACCUGCACACAUUUCCAUAUUCAGUAAAGCCUUCUUUUCCUGCCAGCCAGGCUCUGACUGACUUCUAGAUUGGAUGAUAGUGGCAAGCUGUGAUUGGAGCUUUAGCAAGGGUCGCCUACAUUUAAGGCUGUAUUGUCGCAGUUUAAACUUUGUUCUAUCAGAGGAAAAUGCAGUAGGGGAUUUUUCAGAGAAGAGGAAGCUUCACUGGAGUACCUCAUGACAUUGAAUUGGCCUGGGAGGGGCUACAGUGAGUGCAGUCACACACUGGACUGGAGAGAAAACAUCAUUGGUAUCGUUCCUCUGGAUCACUCAUCUCCUCUGCCAUCAUGAUAACCAACAACACUGGAAUGCAAGAGUCAAGAGAGCAGGAGGCUUGUCUGCCUUGGUUUCUCUUCACCUAGUGGCCAGCAGAGUCUCUAGUGCUUUGGAGCUGCUUAGUAAAUAUCAGCUGGCUGACAGAGGACCCCAUAGUCAACAACUUGACACUCAACAAAUGGACAUGGGAAAGCAAGCCUGCAAAGAUGAAUCUAAAAAGCAAGACAAAUGAAUAAACAAAUAAGCAAACAAAAAUUAGAAUCAGACCUAUAAAUGCAGAGAAUAAAUGGGUAGUUGCCAGAGGGAAGGGGGUAGAGGAAUUAGCAAAAUAGAUGAAGGGUCAUGGGAGAUACAGACUUCCAGUUUUGCAAUGAGUAAGUCACAGGGACAAAAGGA